GGAGGAAUAGCUUAUAACAAUACACUGUUGCUGAUGAAACUCCAUUUCCCCUGGAUUUGCAGCUUAAUUCAUAGGAACAGAGGCAUUCAAGAAUAUGCAGAAGAUUUCAUCUCACCUUCUGUCCCUGUGAUAAUUGGAUUUUGAAAAAAACAGCUUGUUGUGGAAACAAGGAUUGGUGAGAAACCUUCGGUGGAGACACCCUUUUCUCAUGAUAACUCUUUCAAGAUUUCCUCACAGGAACAUUUAGGAGAGAGCUUCAAUCAAGUUGAACCAUCCGAAAGGGGAGGAAAUAAAUGGUGAGAAAAAAUUCUUCAUAUAGUCUUAUUGUUCGGUUUACUAUGAAAGCCUUGUGAGCAGUAAAAAGGUGACAAACUCCAUGUUUUAUUUUUUUUCAAUGUCAACUCUCCACUCCUUAUGAUUGUAAAGAUAAUAGUGUCAAGAUAGCAUGUUGAGUAUUUUCCAGCCCUUCAUCUCCUGUAGGUCCCAUCUGUAUGUACCUUCUUCUUGAGAAACAUACCACAAACAUUCUUUUCUUCUAUUCUACUUCAAACUACUUCUUGGAAUACAUAUUAGAGCAUUAAGAGCACUGCUUAAACUUUGGAAAUCUGGCUGACUUGUAAUGUUGACAUGGAAAGGGUUGGGAAUCUCCGGUCCUUUAGCCAAAUCAAUCUAUUUCUAUAACAGGCCAUAUUACCUUCCCAAUGACAGUAUUAUUUGGUUGCUUCUCAGUUUUGGUGUGGCUUCUCAAGUCAAAAAUACCUCUCUCAGGACUCAU